UUAUGAGAAUUAUAGACCAGUUUUGAGAAUAAAACCCCAAUUGUUCUUAUCCUGUAACGUAGUAGUGAUAGCACUUCAAACAAAAUUGAAACCCCAAACCCUAACCCCACCUAACCACCCCAAAACCUCAUCUCUCAAUUUCAACAACCUCUCCAUCCGUACAAAAAUCGGUACCCGUAAUCCUAUCCAAAUUCGUGCGGCGGUCAAGGAAGAUUUCUCUUCCAACAAAAGCGGAAGCAAUGAGCAGAAGGAAACGAUUAUGCUUCCCGGUUGUGACUACAACCAUUGGCUCAUUGUGAUGGAGUUUCCUAAAGACCCUAAACCCUCUCGGGAACAGAUGAUUGAUACUUACCUUCAAACUCUUGCUACUGUCUUGGGAAGAUUAGUUUUCUACCGCUGCUUCUCUUUUCGUAAUUUCGAAUAACGUUUGGGAUUUUCUGUUGAAUGGAGUUGGUUGUAGUUGAAAUAUACUGAUACAUGAUGUUUUGAAAUUGAGAAUAGUUGCAAGUUUUUCUAUUGAUUAUGUUUUAAAUCUGAAUGUUUAAUUUAGCUUUUGGAAGAAAAAUGCAGAAUUUGUCCUCGCUCGCAAGGUGUUCGAUGAAAUGUCCCAACCGAAUUCCUUUUGUGGCGAAGUUAGCGGUGAGAGAGGAAUUUGAUUUAGUUGAUGUUAACGGCUCAACGAAAUUGAGGAAUGUUUAUUGUAUGAGUACUGUGGAUGAUGAUAAAGGACUUGGUCCUACUGUUCCUUCUCAGAUUGAAAUUUCCGACAUUGUUAAUGGUAUGGUGUUUUCUUGUUUUGUUGAAUUUACUCUAUUGUCCUGUAAUGUUACCCGCAUUAUCACUGUAGUUCGCUGAUUCGCCGCUGUAAUCAACUGUGGAUUAAUAGUAAAUGUCCAAUUUGGUCGUUGAAAUUGGAGGAGUCAUCCGGUGUUAUGUAAUCUACAUUAUCAAUAUUUGAAAUCAAUCCAUAAAAUAGCAAAAUGUUAAUCUAAUUUGUUCAUCCUUAUAUUGAUUUGCAAUUCAAUGCAUCCUGACAUUAUUCACUUUAUUUCAAAUUCACUAUUAAAUGCAUCAUUUUGCCUAACCUGAACCCUCACUUGCUGUCCAAGCGAUUAGUCUCACAGCUUUGCCUAUGGUGAUAUCCUGUUAAUCCACCGAAAGUUACUCAAGUAAUUAAGCCACUUUAUGACAGGUAAUGGAUUGGAUUGUAACCUAGGCAAACUUUACCAGCAGAACUGUCAAUCCACCCAAACCUGUAGUUGCCAUUUUACGGGGGGAGUUUUGCCUGAGCAGAACCACCUCUAUCAGCCCAAGCUAUUAGUCUCACAACUUUUCAUGUGGUGUUAUCCUAUUAAAGAACAAAAAGCUACUCAAAAGUAAUAAACUAUGCCUCUUUAAGACAAGUAGUUUUAUUUGUAUAAUGUAUAUCAAGUCCAAACUUGCUUAGCGCCACUCUACAUGCAGUUUCAACAGCAUUUAGAAUUCCGAAACUAGUGAAAUAUAUUCAGAAAGUAUCUUAGUGUUCCUUUUAACUUUAGUAUUAGAAUUCUAAUUGUUCUUAUCUCUGUCCAAGGACAUUUACCCUGUUCAUAAUUCGUAUGGUACAGACUGUCCCAGAUACCACCAAUAGAACCUAUUUCCAUUACAUUGCUUUCACACCGUAAAUUUAAAUACUCAUGUGCUAAUUUUUGGUACAUCUUGAAACUGUUUUCUUUUCUCAACAUUUAUUUGUGACAUUAUGACAUCUCUUAAGCUACAAAAAUGUCUAGACAUUGCUCUUCAUAAAGCUCUCAUGUUCUUCAAUGCACAAAAAUGUUAGAUUUUUAUCCUUUUUAUGAGUGCCCUUUUUUCUUUUCAUACUAAAUCUAUAUUCAUUUUGUUUCAUAGGGAUUGAGUAAUAGUUCAAAAUUUGUUUUUAUUUUUGUGUCAAACAUGAGACUGAAGUUCCAAUUUUUGAUGAAAAAUGUUUCUUUUUUUGUUUAUGUUAGCUUAAUUUUAUGUGAAUUUUGUCAAUAGAAACAAUUUUGGUAUGUGAUUAACAGUGUAAAGCAUGGAUCUUGAUGAAGAUGGGUUUUCUAUGGUAGUAAGUUUGCUUGAUUUGAUCUGUGAUUCUUUUUUAUUCUGUGUUAUAUAAGGACUAAUAGUGUAAAGUUUGAUCUUUUGAACUUCGGGUAUGCAAGAUGGAAAGGGUGCUGGUGUUUCUACUGCAACCAAGGAUCUGGUUGGUGGAUACUAUGAUGCUGGAGAUGCCAUCAAGUUCAAUUUUCCGGCUGCUUUUUCCAUCACUAUGUUGAGUUGGAGUGUUAUUGAGUAUAGUGGUAAAUAUGAAGCUAUCGGGGAGCUUGAUCAUGUCAAGGAAAUCAUUAAAUGGGCCGCUGAUUAUUUUUUGUUUUAUUUUAUUUCAUUCUAUUUUGGUUAUCGCUGUGGGUUUAUAUUUCUGUCUGUAGUGUCUAUUAUGAUAUACGUAGUCGAUUUUAUACGUAGUUGAUUUCUGGAAAUCUUUGUUACUAUGGAUGUCAUGUGUUCGGUGUUCUUCGACAGGUCGGGAGUGGAGAUACCUCAGAUGGAAGUACGACACCCAAUGAUCACUACUGCUGGAUGCGUCCAGAAGACAUUGAUUACGACAGGCCAGUCACCGAAUGUCACAGUUGUUCAGAGCUUGCUGCAGAGAUGGCUGCUGCCUUGGCGGCUGCAUCUAUUGUUUUCAAAGACAACAAAGCCUAUUCCAAGAAACUUGUUCAUGGUGCCGGUGCUUUCUGGGGAGGCCUGAUUAUGGAGUACUGAGCUGGGAUAACAAGCUUGCUGGUGCACAGAUCCUGCUGCCGCAGCUGCUUCUUAGGACAACAAGGCGCUGAUCGUCGGCUAUUUGAUGCAUUUAUUCUGGCAAUAAACAAGGCUCUAACUUGUGCUAAUUUUGAGUUACACCGAGCGAGUAGGCUCCAGCAAAACUCCCAAGCAGUACCAGUCUGGGUGAACGACGACAUCGAUUCCAACGAUUUCGGCAACACCGACGGGAACUCAUAAGAGAAACGCUUUGGUGGCAAUACUUGAUAACACGAUUCCAUACUGAUAUUUGAUAGAGAGCCAUUAGGUCUGCGUCGGUUGGGUUAGUUAGUUAGUUGCUUCUAAUUUAUUAGUCUAUUAGAUUGGAGAAUUGUUAGGUUUAUAAGUUUCAUUUUCUAUGUGAUGGAGGAAUUAUAACAAUGUUGUGCUGUAUGCAAGUGUAAGUAGUUGUUCUUUUAACAAAUAUGGAUGUUUUAGCUAGAUGAGAACUUGUUGUUUGUGCUAGAUGUUGAUAUUCAAGUGGGAUUAUGUAUGUGAUUGUAGAUAUUAAUACUAGAUCUCAUGCAUCGUAAUACUAGAUAUUAUUUCUAGUAUAAACAUUUUCAUAGA